GCCGGGCAUGGUGGCGCAUGCCUGUAAUCCCAGCUACUUGGGAGGCUGAGGCACAAGAAUCGCUUGAACUCAGGAGCUGGAGGUUGCAGUGAGCUGAGAUCACACCACUGCACUCCAGCCUGGGCAACAGAGUGAGACUCUGUCUCAA
rnacentral:SRP_RNA from 1 species